UACGGGGGGGGCAAGCGUUGUUCGGAAUUACUGGGCGUAAAGGGCUUGUAGGUGGCCAACUAAGUCAGACGUGAAAUCCCUCGGCUUAACCGGGGAACUGCGUCUGAUACUGGAUGGCUUGAGUUUGGGAGAGGGAUGCGGAAUUCCAGGUGUAGCGGUGAAAUGCGUAGAUAUCUGGAGGAACACCGGUGGCGAAGGCGGCUCUCUGGGACGGUACUGACGCUGAGACGCGAAAGCGUGGGGAGCGAACAGG
rnacentral:rRNA from 1 species